rnacentral:rRNA from 1 species
UACGGGGGGAGCAAGCGUUGUUCGGAUUUACUGGGCGUAAAGGGCGCGUAGGCGGCCACCGCAAGUCGGUUGUGAAAUCUCUGGGCUUAACCCAGAAAGGUCAAUCGAUACUGCGGGGCUAGAGUGCAGAAGGGGCAACUGGAAUUCUCGGUGUAGCGGUGAAAUGCGUAGAUAUCGAGAAGAACACCUGCGGCGAAGGCGGGUUGCUGGGCUGACACUGACGCUGAUUGUGCGAAAGCUAGGGGAGCGAACGGG